rnacentral:rRNA from 1 species
GUCUAUGACCAUGCCACCCUGAACGUGCUGGAUCUCAUCUGAUCUCGGAAGCUAAGCAGGGUCGGUCCUGGUUAGUACUUGGAUGGGAGACCACCUAGGAAGACCAGGUGCUGUAGGUG